rnacentral:rRNA from 1 species
GUUGCAAACAGGUCAAGCUGUGCACUCUAGACAGACUGCCGUGGACAACACGGAGGAAGGUGGGGAUGACGUCAAAUCAUCAUGCCCCUUAUGAUCUGGGCUACACACGUGCUACAAUGGCCGGUACAACGGGCAGCGAAGGAGCGAUCCGGAGCGAAUCCUAAAAAGCCGGUCCCAAGUUCGGAUUGCAGGCUGAAACUCGCCUACAUGAAGUUGGAGUUGCUAGUAAUCGCGAAUCAGAAUGUCGCGGUGAAUGCGUUCCCGGGUCUU